UUGUUUGCCAAGUUAUAUUGAAAUCAGACCAAAACUGUAAGAGGAUAGCAUUUUGAAAAAUUGUUUACAGACGGACGGACAGACAGACAGACAGACGGACGGACGACGGACACAUUACUAUCGCAUAAGCUCUUCUGGUCUCUGACCAGUAGAGCUAAAAAUGAAA